GAGUUUGAUCAUGGCUCAGAUUGAACGCUGGCGGCAGGCCUAACACAUGCAAGUCGGACGGUAACAGGAUUAGCUUGCUAAUUGCUGACGAGUGGCGGACGGGUGAGUAAUACUUAGGGAUCUGCCUUUGUGAGGGGGAUAACCAUUGGAAACGAUGGCUAAUACCGCAUAAUGCCUACGGACCAAAGGGGGCUUUUAGCUCUCGCACGAAGAGGAACCUAAGCGAGAUUAGCUAGUUGGUGGGGUAAAGGCUCACCAAGGCGACGAUCUCUAGCUGUUCUGAGAGGAAGAUCAGCCACACUGGGACUGAGACACGGCCCAGACUCCUACGGGAGGCAGCAGUGGGGAAUAUUGCACAAUGAGGGAAACCCUGAUGCAGCCAUGCCGCGUGUGUGAAGAAGGCCUUCGGGUUGUAAAGCACUUUCAGUCGUGAGGAAAGGUUGGUAGUUAAUACCUGCCAACUAUGACGUUAGCGACAGAAGAAGCACCGGCUAACUCCGUGCCAGCAGCCGCGGUAAUACGGAGGGUGCGAGCGUUAAUCGGAAUUACUGGGCGUAAAGCGCACGCAGGCGGUUUGUUAAGCUAGAUGUGAAAGCCCCGGGCUCAACCUGGGAGGGUCAUUUAGAACUGGCAGACUAGAGUCUUGGAGAGGGGAGUGGAAUUCCAGGUGUAGCGGUGAAAUGCGUAGAGAUCUGGAGGAACAUCAGUGGCGAAGGCGACUCCCUGGCCAAAGACUGACGCUCAUGUGCGAAAGUGUGGGUAGCGAACAGGAUUAGAUACCCUGGUAGUCCACACCGUAAACGCUGUCUACUAGCUGUUUGUGUAUUUUAAUACGUGAGUAGCGAAGCUAACGCGCUAAGUAAACCGCCUGGGGGAGUACGGCC
rnacentral:rRNA from 1 species